AAUGGGGAAUGUAAUGGAAUGGGGAGUAGUAUGGAGUGCAAUAGAGAAUGGAAGAGAAUGGAAUGGAGAAUGGAAGGGAAUGGAAUGGAGAAUGGAAUGCAGUGAAGAAUGGAAUAGAAUAGAUAGUGGAAUGGAGAAUGGAAUGGAAAGUGGAAUGGAAUGGAAAAUGGAAGGAAUGCAGCAUGGAAUGCAAUGAAAUGGAGAAUUGUGUGCAGAAUGGAAUGGAAUGGAAAGUAGAGAAUGGAAUGGAAUGGGGAAUUGAAUGCAGUGGUGAAUAGAAUGGAAUGGAAAAUCGAAUGGGAAUGGAAUGGAGAAAAGCGAGACAUGGUAUGUAGAAUGUAAUUGAAUGUAGAAUGGAAUGGAAUGGAGAAUGGAAUGGAACGGAGAAUGCUAUGGAAUGCAGUGGAGAACGGAAGAGAAUGGAAUAGAGAAUGGGAUGGAACGCAGUGNNNNNNNNNNAUUCCAUUCUCCAUUCCAUUCCAUUCUCUAUUCCAUUCCGCAUUCCAUUCCAUUCCACAUUCCAUUCCAUUCUGCAUUCUGUUCCAUUCUCCAUUCUAUUCCAUUCUCCUUCCAUUCUCCAUUCCAUUCCAUUCUCCAUUCCAUUCCAUUCUCCAUUCCAUUCCAUUCUAUUCUCCAUUCCAUUUUCCAUUCUCCAUUCCAUUCCAUUCUGCAUUCCAUUCCAUCCUCCAUUCAAUUCCAUUCCAUCCUCCAUUCCAUUAUCCAUUUCAUUCCAUUUCUCUCUAUUUCAUUCCAUUCUCCAUUCCAUUCCAUUCUCCAUUACUUUCCUUUCCGUUCCAUUUCCCACUGAAUUCCAUUCUCCAUUCCAUUCCAUUCUCCAUACCAUCCUCCGUUCCAUUACACUGCAUUCCAUUCUCCAUUCUAUUUUAUUCACCACUGCAUUCCAUUACAUUUUGCAUUCCAUUCUAUUCUCCAUUCCAUUCCAUAUUCUAUUCCUUUCUCCAUUCCAUUCCCCUUUCCAUUCCAUUCUCCAUACCAUUCUCCAUUCCAUUCCAUUUUCUAUUCCACUCCAUUCACCACUGCAUUCCAUUCCAGUCUCCAUUCCAUUCCAUUCUCCAUUGCAUUUCAUUCUCCAUUGCAUUCCUUUCCAUUCCAUUUCCCACUGAAUUCCAUUCUCCAUUCCAUUCCCUUCUAUUCUCCAUUUCAUUCCACUCUUGCUUCCAGUUCAAUCUCCAUUCCCUUCCAUUCUCCAUUCCACUCCACAUUCCCUUCCAUUCUCCAUUCCAAUCUAUUGUCUAUUCCAUUCCAUUUCAAUCCAUUGUUCACUCCAUUCCCUUCCCCAUUGCAUUGUCCAUUCCAUUCCAUUCUCCAUUCCAUUCCCUUCCAUUCUCCAUUUCAUUCCACUCUCCCUUCCAGUUCAAUCUCCAUUCCAUUCCAUUCUCCAUUCCACUCCACAUUCCAUUCCAUUCUCCAUUCCAUUCCAUUUUCUAUUCCAUUCCAUUCCAAUCCAUUGUCCAUUCUAUUCCAUUCCCCAUUCCAUUGUCCAUUCCAUUCCCCAUUCCGUUCUAUUCCCAAUUAAAUUCCCCAUUCCAUUCCACUCCCCAUUCCAUUCUGCAUUCCAUCUCCAUUCCCUAUUCCAUUCCAUUCCAUUCUCCAUUCCUUUUAUUCCAUUUCAACUCCAUUCCAUUCUCCAUUUCAUUCCAUUCUCCUUUCCAUUCUAUUCUAUUGUCCAUUCCAUUCUUCAUUCCAUUCCAUUCUCCAUUCUCUUCCAUUCUCCUUCCAUUCUCCAUUCCAUUCCCUUCUCCAUUCCAUUCCACAUCCUCCUUUCAAUUCCAUUCUCCAUUCCAUUCCCCAUUCCAUUUCAGACUCCAUUCCAUUCCAUUCUCCCUUCCAUUCCAUACUCCAUUCCCUUCCAUCCUCCAUUCCAUUCUCCAUUUCAUUCCAUUCCUUUCUGCAUUUCAUUCCAUUCCUUUCUCCAUUUCAUUCCAUUCUCCAUUCCAUUUUCCAUUCCAUUCCAUCCUCCAUUCCAUUCCAUUCCUUUCUCCAUUCCAUUCCAUUCUCCAUUCCAUUUCAUUCUCCAUUCCUUUCUCUAUUCCAUUCCAUUCUCCACUGUAUUCCAUUCUUCAUUCCAUUCCAUUCUCCAUUCUCUUCUCCAUUCCAUUCCAUUCUCCGUUCCACUCCAUUCCAUUCUCCAUUCCACUCCAUUCCAUUCCAUCCUCCGUUACACUCCAUUCCAUUCCAUCCUCCAUUCCGUUCCACUCUCCAUUUCAUUCCAUUCCAUUCUCCAUUCCAUUCCAUUGUCCAUUCCACUGCAUUCUCCAUUCCAUUCCAUUCUCCAUUCCAUUGCAUGCUCCGUUUCAUUUCAUUCUCCAUUCCAUUUUCCAUUGUCCAUUGCAUUCCAUUCUGCAUUCUCCAUCCCAUUCCAUUCCAUUCUCCAUUCCAUUCCAUUACCCAUUCCUUUCCAUUCCUCAUUCAAUUUCCAAUUCCUUUCCAUUCUCCAUUCCAUUCCAUUCUCCCUUCCAUUCCAUCUGUUCCAUUUUCCUUUCCAUUCCAUUCUCCAUUCCAUUCCAUAUUCCAUUCCAUUCCAUAUUCCAUUCCAUUCUCCAUUCCAUUGCAUUCUCCAUACCAUUCUACAUUCCAUUCCAUUCCGUUCUCCAUUCUCCAUUCCCUUCUCCCACAGUCUUUUUGGCCAAAUUUUACAACAAGUUCUAGAAAAAGUUGUCAUCCCAGAACAAAUAUGCCUUCUCCAGUACGUGGAUG
rnacentral:lncRNA from 1 species